rnacentral:rRNA from 1 species
UUUUUAAAUAUUUUAGAGAAAUUUAUUCUGUAAAGGAUUUAACCCCAAAAUCUUACUUUUUUUUGUAUAAUAUACAAAAAUAUAUUACAUUUCAUAUACCUCUAUUUUUUGAUUAUUAAAUUAAUUAUAGCAUUUUCUAUGAUUGUUUAGAAGUAUUUUAGGGAAAGGUGUGGAUUAUAAAAAAGAUUGAAAUAAGUUUUAUUAAUUAGUAUUUAAUGAAAUUUAAAUUGAUAGAUUUAAAUUCAAUAAAAUUUAAAAGUAAAAUUAGUGAAAUAGGCUAAUUUGAAUAGAUUUUUAAAAGUGUACAUAUUGCCCGUCACUCUCUUUUUAGAGAUAA